UACGUAGGGGGCAAGCGUUGUCCGGAUUCAUUGGGCGUAAAGAGCGUGUAGGCGGCCAGAUAGGUCGGUUGUGAAAACUGGAGGCUUAACCUCCAGACGUCGACGGAAACCGCGCGGCUAGAGUCCGGAAGAGGAGAGUGGAAUUCCUGGUGUAGCGGUGAAAUGCGCAGAUAUCAGGAGGAACACCGGUGGCGAAGGCGGGUCUCUGGGCCGUUACUGACGCUGAGGAGCGAAAGCGUGGGGAGCGAACAGG
rnacentral:rRNA from 1 species